AUUUAAAUAGCUUAAUAAGAGCAUAACAUUGAAGCUGUUAGGGUGAUUUUUGAAUCUUUAAAU
rnacentral:tRNA from 1 species